rnacentral:rRNA from 1 species
AGUGAGUGGCGAACGGGUGAGUAACACGUGGGUAACCUGUCCAGAAGUAGGGGAUAACACCUGGAAACAGAUGCUAAUACCGUAUAACAGAGAAAACCGCAUGGUUUUCUUUUAAAAGAUGGCUCUGCUAUCACUUCUGGAUGGACCCGCGGCGUAUUAGCUAGUUGGUGAGGUAAAGGCUCACCAAGGCAGUGAUACGUAGCCGACCUGAGAGGGUAAUCGGCCACAUUGGGACUGAGACACGGCCCAGACUCCUACGGGAGGCAGCAGUAGGGAAUCUUCCACAAUGGACGCAAGUCUGAUGGAGCAACGCCGCGUGAGUGAAGAAGGGUUUCGGCUCGUAAAGCUCUGUUGUUAAAGAAGAACGUGGGUAAGAGUAACUGUUUACCCAGUGACGGUAUUUAACCAGAAAGCCACGGCUAACUACGUGCCAGCAGCCGCGGUAAUACGUAGGUGGCAAGCGUUAUCCGGAUUUAUUGGGCGUAAAGCGAGCGCAGGCGGUCUUUUAAGUCUAAUGUGAAAGCCUUCGGCUCAACCGAAGAAGUGCAUUGGAAACUGGGAGACUUGAGUGCAGAAGAGGACAGUGGAACUCCAUGUGUAGCGGUGAAAUGCGUAGAUAUAUGGAAGAACACCAGUGGCGAAGGCGGCUGUCUGGUCUGCAACUGACGCUGAGGCUCGAAAGCAUGGGUAGCGAACAGGAUUAGAUACCCUGGUAGUCCAUGCCGUAAACGAUGAUUACUAAGUGUUGGAGGGUUUCCGCCCUUCAGUGCUGCAGCUAACGCAUUAAGUAAUCCGCCUGGGGAGUACGACCGCAAGGUUGAAACUCAAAAGAAUUGACGGGGGCCCGCACAAGCGGUGGAGCAUGUGGUUUAAUUCGAAGCUACGCGAAGAACCUUACCAGGUCUUGACAUCUUCUGACAGUCUAAGAGAUUAGAGGUUCCCUUCGGGGACAGAAUGACAGGUGGUGCAUGGUUGUCGUCAGCUCGUGUCGUGAGAUGUUGGGUUAAGUCCCGCAACGAGCGCAACCCUUAUUACUAGUUGCCAGCAUUAAGUUGGGCACUCUAGUGAGACUGCCGGUGACAAACCGGAGGAAGGUGGGGACGACGUCAAAUCAUCAUGCCCCUUAUGACCUGGGCUACACACGUGCUACAAUGGAUGGUACAACGAGUCGCGAGACCGCGAGGUUAAGCUAAUCUCUUAAAACCAUUCUCAGUUCGGACUGUAGGCUGCAACUCGCCUACACGAAGUCGGAAUCGCUAGUAAUCGCGGAUCAGCAUGCCGCGGUGAAUACGUUCCCGGGCCUUGUACACACCGACCGGCACACCAUGAGAGUUUGUAACACCCAAAGCCGGUGGGGUAACCUUUUAGGAGCUA